rnacentral:tRNA from 1 species
AGGACUUUAGUUUAAAAUAAAACUUAUGAUUUGCAUUCAUACAAUAUAUCUCUAAUAUAUGGCUUA